rnacentral:rRNA from 1 species
CGCGAUUCGCCCUUCGGGGUGCACCAGGCGCGAAAACUUUACAAUGCUGGCAACAGCGAUAAGGGGACCUUGAGUGCCAGGAUACAAUCCUGGCUGUCGUGAUGCCUAAAAAGCAUUAUAUAGCAAGGGCCGGGCAAGACCGGUGCCAGCCGCCGCGGUAACACCGGCGGCUCGAGUGGUAACCGCUAUUAUUGGGUCUAAAGGGUCUGUAGCCGGCUUGGUUAGUCUCUUGGGAAAUCCGGCAGCUUAACUGUCGGGCUUUCAGGAGAUACUGCCAGGCUCGAGACCGGGAGAGGUGAGAGGUACUUCAUGGGUAGGGGUGAAAUCUUGUAAUCCUUGAAGGACCACCAGUGGCGAAGGCGUCUCACCAGAACGGAUCUGACGGCAAGGGACGAAAGCUAGGGGCACGAACCGGAUUAGAUACCCGGGUAGUCCUAGCCGUAAACGAUACUCGCUAGGUGUCGGCCACGGUGCGACCGUGGUCGGUGCCGUAGGGAAGCCGUGAAGCGAGCCACCUGGGAAGUACGGCCGCAAGGCUGAAACUUAAAGGAAUUGGCGGGGGAGCAC